GCAUUACUACCCAAGAGAGACGCAUCCUCACUCGCGCCCUUGGAGAUUGGUCUUCACGCACCGCAAAUUGUAACCCCCACGUAUCAUCAAUUCAUCAUUCUUCUUCUUCAACCUUCAAUCAGUAAACCACGCCAACAAAGCCUCAAAGGUCUCGCCUUUUUCCCCGUUUUUUCAGUUAUGCCCUUAUCUUAGUACCCACAGCGUUUGUUUGAGUUAUGUAUCUAUAUGUGUAUCUAUAUGUGUGUGUAUAGAUGCAUAAACCCACAGUUUUGGUACUACGUUAGCUGCUUCAGGGUUUCUGGGUUCGAGAAUUCGGGGUUUUUAAGGAGACCCGUGGGGUUGAAUUUGUCGAAGGAGCAAAUGCGAUGAAUCUCCGGCAGCGUAGUAUGUCCACGCGCCGCCGGGACGAGGCGGCGGCGGUGGCGGAGUUCAACAUCAUUCCGAUUCAUAACUUGUUAACCGACCACCCGUCUCUCCGGUACCCGGAAGUCCGGUCGGCGGCGGCGGCGCUCCGCUUCGUGGGGGACCUCCGGAAACCGCCGUUCGUGGCGUGGCGAGAUUCCAUGGAUCUUCUGGACUGGCUAGGAAUCUUCUUCGGGUUCCAAGAUGACAGUGUGAAGAAUCAGAGAGAGCAUUUGGUCCUCCAUCUCUCAAAUUCCCAAAUGCGCCAAUCGCCGCCGGCGGCCCCGGACCGCCUGGACCAAAAUACCCUCCACCAUUUCCGCAAGAAGCUCCUCAAGAACUACUCCUCCUGGUGCUCUUUUCACUGCAAAAAAUCCCAAAUCCGGCUCCCCAGGAACCGCCAGGGCCCGGAGAAUCUCCGCCGUGAGCUUUUGUAUGUAUCCCUCUUUUUGCUAAUUUGGGGUGAGGCUGCUAAUGUCCGUUUUGUCCCUGAAUGUUUAUGCUUUAUAUUUCAUCAUAUGGCUAUGGAACUUAAUUAUAUUCUUGAUGGUCAAAUUGAUGAGCAAACUGGGCAGCCUUAUAUUCCCUGGACUUGUAAGCAAUUUGGGUUCUUGGAUUGUGUUGUUACACCUAUAUAUAAUGCGAUUAGGCGCGAGGUCGAGAGGAGUAGGAAUGGGACGGCUCCCCAUUCGGCUUGGAGGAAUUAUGAUGAUAUAAAUGAGUAUUUUUGGAGUAGGAGGUGUUUCAAGAAGUUGAAAUGGCCUCUCGAUUCGUCGUGUAGCUUUUUCUCCCUCGACGAGGAGCGGAGAGUGGGGAAGACGGGGUUUGUGGAGCAGAGGACGUUUUGGAAUGUGUUUAGGAGUUUCGAUAGGUUGUGGGUGUUGUUGAUCUUGUUCUUUCAGGCGGCGGCUAUUGUUGCUUGGGAAGGGACGGAGUAUCCGUGGGAGGCUCUCGAGAGGCGGGAUGUGCAGGUGGAGUUGCUAUCGGUUUUCAUAACGUGGGCUGGGUUGAGGUUUGUGCAGUCGGUUCUUGAUGCCGGGACUCAGUAUAGUUUGGUCUCGAGAGAGACUAUGUGGGUGUGCGUGAGGAUGGUGUUGAAGAGUUUAGUUGCUGCUGCUUGGACGGUUGUGUUUGGGGUGUUUUAUGCGAGGAUUUGGAGCCAGAAGAAUGCUGAUAGGAGGUGGUCGGAUGAAGCUGAUGAUAGGAUUAUCGUGUUUCUGAAAACCGCUCUCGUGUUUAUAACCCCGGAGGUGCUUGCUCUGAUUCUCUUUGUUCUUCCGUGGAUCCGAAAUCUGCUGGAAAAAGCAAACAUUCCGUUUAUGUACUUGGUAACGUGGUGGUUUUACAGUCAUAUAUAUGUUGGCAGAGGGCUUAGGGAAGGACUAAUCAAUAACAUAAAGUACACGCUAUUCUGGAUUGUGGUUCUGGCUUCAAAAUUCUCGUUUAGUUAUUUUCUUCAGAUAAAGCCCCUGGUCACCCCGACAAAGGCUCUUUUGGAUCUCAACAAUACUCCGAAUGUGCACUAUAAGUGGCACGAAUUCUUUGGUAGCACCAACGAAUUUGCGGUUGUAAUGUUGUGGCUUCCGGUUGUUCUAAUAUAUCUUGUGGAUUUGCAAAUCUGGUAUACAGUGUUUUCUUCGGUUGUUGGGGGCACAAUCGGGUUGUUCUCACAUAUAGGCGAGAUUCGAAACAUUGAACAGCUUAGACUCCGGUUCCAAUUCUUUGCGAGUGCGUUGCAGUUCAAUUUGAUGCCCGAAGAUCAGAGAACAAUUGCUAAGGCUACGCUGGUUCAGAAAUUGCGGGAUGCAAUCCAUCGGCUGAAACUGAGGUAUGGGUUUGGACAGCCGUACAAGAAGAUUGAAUCGAGCCAGGUGGAAGCCACUAGGUUUGCGUUGAUAUGGAACGAGAUAAUCAUAGCUAUGAGGGAAGAGGACCUCGUUAGUGAUCAAGAGCUCGAGCUACUAGAAUUGCCGCCCAACUGUUGGGAUAUUAAGGUUAUUCGAUGGCCGUGUGUUCUCCUGUGUAAUGAGCUGCUGCUCGCUCUUAGCCACGCAACGGAGUUGGGGGAGGCUCCCGACCAGUGGGUGUGGUUUAGGAUAUGCAAGAACGAGUAUAGGCGGUGCGCUGUUAUCGAGGCGUAUGACAGCAUCAAAUUCCUGCUUCUAGAGCUCGUUAAAUAUGAUACCGAAGAGCACUCCAUCGUCACGAAACUGUUUAUGGAUAUCGACGAUUGCCUCCGCUUUGAAAAAUUCACAAAGGCGUACAAGACAACGGUUUUGCCUCAGAUUCACGAGAAGCUAGUAUCUCUCGUUGGGCUCCUGCUCUCUCCGAAGCAGGACUUGAGUAAGGUCGUGAAUGUAAUGCAAGCACUGUACGAGCUUUCGGUUCGGGAUUUCCCAAAAGUGAAGAAGCCCGUGGCACAGUUGAGGCAGGAAGGUCUCGCGCCUCUUAACCAGGAUACAACCACCGGGUUUCUGUUUGAAAACGCUGUUGUGUUCCCCGACAUUCAAGAUGCUUUCUUUUAUAGGCAACUACGUCGUCUGCAGGCAAUUCUAACUUCCCGAGAUUCAAUGCAUAAUGUUCCGAAAAAUAUUGAAGCUAGACGGCGUAUGGCUUUCUUCAGCAACUCACUUUUUAUGAAUAUCCCGCGAGCUACCCAGGUCGAGAAAAUGAUGGCCUUCAGUGUCUUGACUCCUUACUAUGACGAAGAAGUAAUAUAUGGCAAAGAAAGUCUCCGAAGUGAAAAUCAAGAUGGUAUCUCUAUCAUAUUUUACCUCCAGAAGAUUUAUGAAGAUGAAUGGGAGAAUUUCUUAGAACGAAUGCGUAGAGAAGGAAUGAACGACGAUAAUGAGAUAUGGACUUCCAAAAUAAGGGAACUUCGUCUCUGGGCAUCGUAUAGGGGCCAGACAUUAUCUCGGACCGUUAGAGGAAUGAUGUAUUAUUACCGGGCUCUUAAGAUGCUUGCUUUCCUCGACUCUGCAGCGGAGGUGGACAUAAGGCAUGGGUCAGUCGAUAUAGGUUCACUGAACCAAAACAACGGCUUUGAUGGGUUAGCCUGUGGAAAUCCUGCCUCUUCUCGGAAUCUCCACCGAGCAAGUAGCAGUGUGACACUUCUUUUUAGAGGGCACGAGUUUGGUGCUGCUCUAAUGAAAUUCACUUAUGUGGUGACCUGCCAGGUCUACGGGAUUCAGAAGGCAAAGGGCGAUCCACGUGCCGAGGAGAUAUCAUACUUGAUGAGGAAUUAUGAAGCGCUCCGUGUUGCUUAUGUUGACGAGGUUCACUUGGGUAGAGAUGGCGUGCAGUAUUUCUCUGUGUUAGUGAAGUACGAUCAACAGUUGAAGAGAGAGGUGGAAAUCUAUCGCAUAAAGUUGCCCGGGCCACUGAAGCUCGGGGAGGGCAAACCCGAGAAUCAAAAUCAUGCCAUUAUCUUCACUAGAGGCGAGGCAGUUCAAACGAUCGACAUGAACCAAGAUAACUACUUUGAGGAGGCACUCAAGAUGCGGAAUCUAUUGGAGGAAUUUAAAAUCUAUCACGGAAUCAGGAAGCCUACUAUUCUCGGGGUUCGUGAAAACAUCUUUACCGGUUCGGUGUCGUCUCUCGCUUGGUUCAUGUCUGCUCAGGAAACAAGUUUCGUGACACUGGGGCAGCGUGUUCUGGCUAAUCCUCUUAAGGUACGUAUGCACUAUGGUCAUCCCGACGUCUUUGAUAGGUUCUGGUUCUUGUCUCGGGGCGGCAUUAGCAAGGCUUCGAGGGUGAUCAAUAUCAGUGAAGACAUAUUUGCGGGUUUUAAUUGUACACUUCGAGGCGGCAAUGUGACCCACCAUGAAUACAUACAAGUCGGUAAAGGAAGGGAUGUUGGGUUGAAUCAGAUUUCGAUGUUCGAGGCUAAGGUUGCUAGUGGCAAUGGCGAGCAAGUUUUGAGCCGAGAUGUGUACAGGUUGGGGCACCGACUAGAUUUCUUUCGCAUGCUUUCUUUCUUCUACACGACCGUGGGGUUCUUCUUCAACAACAUGAUGGUAGUAAUCAUGGUAUACGCGUUCCUGUGGGGCCGCCUAUACCUUGCGCUCAGUGGCGUUGAAGAUUACGCGAGAAGCAAUGCCACCAACAACAAAGCCCUCGGGGCAAUUUUAAAUCAACAGUUUGUAAUCCAGAUCGGUGCAUUUACCGCCCUUCCAAUGAUUGUCGAGAACUCUCUGGAGCAUGGAUUCCUUUCGUCAGUUUGGGAUUUUAUAACGAUGCAGUUGCAGCUUUCUUCGCUAUUUUAUACCUUCUCGAUGGGAACUCGUGCACAUUUCUUUGGCCGGACCAUUCUGCACGGGGGUGCCAAGUAUCGAGCAACUGGCCGAGGCUUCGUGGUUUCGCACAAAAGGUUUGCCGAGAAUUACAGAUUGUAUGCUCGCAGCCAUUUCGUAAAGGGGAUCGAACUCGGUGUGAUUCUUAUAGUGUAUGCUUCGAAUAGCCCGUUGGCUAAGAAUACUUUUGUGUAUAUAGCUAUGACUAUCUCGAGCUGGUUCCUUGUGCUAUCGUGGAUUAUGGCUCCUUUCGCUUUCAAUCCCACGGGGUUUGACUGGCUGAAUACCGUUUACGACUUCGAUGAUUUCAUGAAUUGGAUUUGGUAUAACCGAGGGGUGUUUGCAAAAGCCGAUCAGAGCUGGGAAACGUGGUGGUAUGAGGAGCAGGAACACUUGAGAGCGACGGGUCUUUGGGGAAAACUGCUCGAGAUUAUCUUAGACCUUCGUUUUUUCUUUUUCCAGUACGGGAUUGUGUACCACCUGCAAAUAACCGGCGACGACACGAGAAUUUCGGUUUACUUGCUGUCUUGGAUCUACAUGGUUGCAGCCGUGGCGAUUUAUAUCGCCAUUGCAUAUGCCAAGGACAAAUACGCCAUGAACCAGCACAUAUAUUACCGAGUCGUGCAGUUGCUCGUCAUCGUGAUCACGGUACUCGUUAUUGUUUUAUUGCUGGAGUUCACGAAGUUUUCGGUUCUCGACUUCAUUACUAGUUUCUUGGCGUUUAUACCCACGGGGUGGGGUAUCAUCCAAAUUGCCCUCGUGCUGCGGCCCUUUCUGGAGACUAGCGUGGUUUGGGAAACUGUUGUAUCCUUGGCCCGUCUUUAUGAUAUGAUAUUUGGACUAAUCGUCUUGGCUCCUUUGGCAUUCCUAUCUUGGAUGCCCGGGUUUCAAUCCAUGCAAACGAGGAUACUCUUCAACGAGGCUUUCAGCAGAGGGCUUCAGAUUUCUCGGAUACUCACAGCCAAAUCUUCAUAAUCUCAGGUCAUGGGCCGAUGAAUGUGGUGCUCUUCAACGCACGCAUUCUCCCAUUUUUUGCUGUCCAACGAGGUUCACGCCAGCGCCCUUCUGCCAACGAAGUUCGGGUUUUUGAAUCAAGAUCGUCGCAGAUUACUACUAUAACUGUGAACUAUGGUAGCUGGAAUCCACGCCUACGUGUAUACGAAGGUAUUCAUGUACCAAUGUGAACACAAUCACCAAUGUAAGAUGUUGAGUUAAGUCCCGCACCGAGCUCAACCCUCGUGUUUAGUUGCCACGCUGAGUUUAGAAUCCUGAACAGACUGCUGGUGAUAAGCUUCGAAGUGAGGAUGACUUCAAGUCAUCAUGCCCUUUAUGCCCUAGGCAACACACGUGCUACAAUGGUUAGGACAAAGGGUCGCGAACUCAAACCGCUGAUAUCCGCCACAGGGUAAAUCACCACCUCUUAGGUCCCCAGAUUGAUUCUACCAUAGAGGCCAAUGAUAGAUUAUCAAUCUACCAUAGAGGCCAAUGAUAGAAAAUAAUCGCAAACACAACUUUUUAUCACAAUAAUUAUGCUUUAUUCACUCGACCAGGGUACUAACAUCAUACUCUUGAUGUUCUAAUAACGUUUUGGGGAGUGUUAAUAUUCUCAUGGAUAUUUGUUCCAACAUUUCUUGAAAUUUAAACUGCAUGAGCUAA